CUGAUUGGGAUUAAAUUAUGCAAAAAAGAGUAAAAUAUAGGGAAGAGAGCGUGAAUUUCAAGAGAAAACGUUGAGCAUGAUAUGGAUAGUUCCCAAGGACAAAACUUUGAUCUUUUAUCCAAUUCCUUUUGUAUCUGUUUUGUGGUUUUCAAGUCAACUUUCAGCCCAGUGUUUACUUUUGGGUGAUCCGAUAUGGGGAGUAGAACUUGCGAUCUUGUUGGCCAAGUCAACCCAGCUCAGAGUUUCGAUACACAAGCUCUGCUUCGCUAUGCCUCUGCUAAUGUUAUUGGCUUCCCUGCAAAUCCUUCUCUAUUUACUAUAUCUCAGUUUGGGCAUGGCCAGUCAAAUCCCACUUUCCUCAUUGAGGUUGGCUCAGGAACCUUGCCAAAAAAAUAUGUGUUGAGAAAGAAACCCUGUGGAAAUUUACUGACAUCUGCUCAUGCUGUUGAGAGAGAGUAUGAGGUUCUACAUGCAUUAAGUACUCACUCGGUGGUCCCGGUCCCAAAGGUUUUUUCUUUGUGUACAGAUUCAAGUGUGAUUGGGACUCCG
rnacentral:misc_RNA from 1 species